GAAGACCUGAAGAUCUGAAAUUCAGCUGAGACUCCAGAAAUUGGAGAAUGAGAAGGCAUUGGCAAGAAUAUUUCAAAGUAAAGGAAAGGUUACGGCAAGGCCCUGAGGCUGGAAAGAGAAUGGAGUUUCUGAGAAACUGACAUAGGAAUGUAACUGGAGCACAAAGAAAGAGAGACAUGGGAGAUGAGGCUGGGGAAGGCAGCGGUCAAACUGGGAAGAUAUUCUAAGCCAUGCUGAGAGCGCUCGACUUUCUCAAAAGGGCUAAUCUACAAUCAGAAGAAGAAAAGCCUUUCAUUUGUGGACUCCAGCUAGAGGAAGGAAGCUUUUGUAUGUGGAUUCACUGGAGACCAAAAUAUUAAAAAGUGGAAGAGGAAAACCAUAUGUUGCAGUUCUCAUAAGCAGGCAGCUCAAAGUUCUGGUUAAAGAAAUGCUUGAGUUCAUUUUACAGAAAAGUAAAUAUUUUAUCAUGAGAACAGGGUAUACUAAUAAUAUUGAUACCUCUGUUACAAACAUUGACAUUUUAAGUUGUAUUCUGUUUUCUCUAAUUUUUUAAAUCAGGAAAACCUAAGAAUUAGAUAUUUCAAAGAAACACAAAAUGACCAAACAUUUUAGCAUAAUUCUUCAAAAUGUAACUUAAGAAGGAAAGAAGAGAUCCAACAGAAUAAAGAUAGAAGAUAAUUUUUAUAAGCUUAUGAUUCCUUCUCUUCUAUGAGUCACAGCAAAGUUAGCUGAUAUUUUAUAGUUGCAGCAAUUGAAUGCAGGUUAUAAUAGAAGUGGGGAAAAUCACUAAUAAUUAUCUGCAUCCUAUUUCAUAGUCAAUUCAAUAACGUAAUGUUAAGAUAGUCUCCUUAUCUCUUUUGGUUGACAAAGGGUUAUCCUUGCCUUCGUAUUACUUGUGAAUAAGCCUAGUGAUGAGAACAAGAUUAGUGUGGUCCUCUUCCAACUUCCUAUAGGAGAGAAUGCAAGAAGAUCUUCCCAUUCUUUUUAACCUGACCACAUUUGUGUUUGAUUUCCUUUCUAUGUCUUUGAAGCAGCCAAACAAAUAAAGCCUGCUUUAAUACAUGUAUCCUUUAAAGAAUAUGGCUUCCAGCUCAAAGUUUCAGUAUGUGAAACCAAAAGUAUCUAAGACAGGUCUCAAUCAAUUUAGAAAGUUUAUUUUGCCAAGGUUAAGGUGACAACCAUGACACAAUCUCAGGAGAUCCUGAUGACAUGUGCCCAAGGUGGAUGGGUCACAACUUGGUUUUAUACAUUUUAGGGAGACAUGAGACAUCAGUCAAAUACAUUUAAGAUGUACAUUGGUUCGGUCCAGAAAGUCAGAACAAUUCAAAGCAGGUGCUUCCAGGUUAUAGGUAGAUUUAAAAAUUUUCUGAUUGGCAAUUUGGUUGAAAGAGUUGCCAUCAAUAUAAAGAAAUGUCUGGGAUAUGACAAGAGGUUGUGGAGACCAAAG
rnacentral:lncRNA from 1 species